rnacentral:misc_RNA from 1 species
UUUCCGUAGGUGAACCUGCGGAAGGAUCAUUAAAAAAUUGGACUCCAUUGGUGAGUUCAUUAAUAAUCCUACCCUUUGUGAAUUUGUUUGUUUGAAUAAUUUUUUUCCAAAAAAAAUUAUUGAAUGUCUUUCCCUGUUUUGGUGGAGCUUGUAAAGUGAAACCAGGCAGGGGAAUGGCAAACAAUAAUUAUUUUUGAAAAAGACCUUUUUUAAAAUUAAACUUUUUGUAUUCAUUUGUCUAAAAUUAUUUUUAUAAUAUAAAAACAACUUUUGACAAUGGAUCUCUUGGUUCUCGCAACGAUGAAGAACGCAGCAAAAUGCGAUAAGUAGUGUGAAUUGCAGAAUACGUGAAUCAUCGAAUCUUCGAACGCAUAUUGCACUUUUUUAGUUUACUAAAAAAGUAUGUCUGUUUGAGUAUCAGUAAAAUAUUCUCAUAAAAAAUUUAUUUUUUAUGGUUAUGAGUGUUUUACAACGAUAACAAGUUGUUUCACUUUAAAUUCUUUGUUAUCAAAAAAAUCAUUAAAAGCUAAUUUUAAAGAUUUUUUAAAAUUGGAUAAAAUUUUCCCGUAAAAAGGAAUAACCUAAACAAUUUUAAAAAAUUAAAAUUGGUUUGAUUUUUCUUGAUUUAAAAAGGAAAAAAAAGUAAAAAUUAACUUGAUCUCAAAUCAGAUAAGAGUACCCGCUGAACUUAAGCAUAUCAAUAAGCGGAGGAAAAGAAACUAACUAGGAUUCCCUCAGUAACGGCGAGUGAAGCGGGAAGAGCUCAAAUUUGAAAUCUUCAAGGUUUUACCUUGACGAAUUGUAGUUUAAAGAAGUGCUUUCUGUUGGAGUUUUGGUAAAAGUUCUUUGGAAAAGGACAUCAUAGAGGGUGAGAAUCCCGUAUUUGACCAUUAUCUCCAGCUUUGUGAUACACUUUCAAAGAGUCGGAUUGUUUGGGAAUGCAGUCCAAAAUGGGUGGUAAAUUUCAUCUAAAGCUAAAUACUGGCGAGAGACCGAUAGCGAACAAGUACCGUGAGGGAAAGAUGAAAAGAACUUUGAAAAGAGAGUUAAACAGUACGUGAAAUUGUCAAAAGGGAAGCGUUUGACACCAGUGUUGUUUUCUCGAAAAUCAAUUAAAAAAGGCCGGAUUUUGUGUUGUAUUGACUUUAUCAGCUUUCUGCACUUUUUUCUUGUCUUUUUUAAUGCACUUUUCGUUUAACAAGUCAACAUCAAUUUCUUUUGUUGUAAAAGGGUCAUUGGAAGGUGGCUUUCUUUUCGGAGAAAGUGUUUAUAGCCUUUGGCCUCUGCAAUCGGAGAGAUUGAGGUCUGCAGCGUAGAUCCUUCGGGUUAGAUACAUUUGUGCUAAGUUAUAGCCUUUCAUAGACAACUUGUUGACUAUGAUCAGUCAUGUAGCUUACUCGCCUAUGCUAUUU